UACGUAGGUGGCAAGCGUUGUCCGGAAUUUAUUGGGCGUAAAGCGCGCGCAGGUGGUUUCUUAAGUCUGAUGUGAAAGCCCACGGCUCAACCGUGGAGGGUCAUUGGAAACUGGGGAACUUGAGUGCAGGAGAGAAGAGUGGAAUUCCACGUGUAGCGGUGAAAUGCGUAGAGAUGUGGAGGAACACCAGUGGCGAAGGCGAAUCUCUGGACAAUUCCUGACACUGAUGCUCGAAAGCUAGGGGAGCAAACGGG
rnacentral:rRNA from 1 species